AGGGCGCACGGUGGAUGCCUUGGCACUAGAAGCCGACGAAGGACGUUACUAACGACGAUAUGCUUUGGGUAGCUGUAAGUAAGCGUUGAUCCAGAGAUUUCCGAAUGGGGGAACCCAGCACGAGUUAUGUCGUGUUAUCGACAAGUGAAUUCAUAGCUUGUCAGAAGGCAGACCCGGAGAACUGAAACAUCUUAGUACCCGGAGGAAGAGAAAGAAAAAUCGAUUCCCUGAGUAGCGGCGAGCGAAACGGGAAGAGCCCAAACCAAUAAGCUUGCUUAUUGGGGUUGUAGGACACUCUAUACGGAGUUACAAAGGAAUAUAUUAGACGAAUCAUCUGGAAAGUUGAAUCAAAGAAGGUAAUAAUCCUGUAGUUGAAAAUAUAUUCUCUCUUGAGUGGAUCCUGAGUACGACGGAGCACGUGAAAUUCCGUCGGAAUCUGGGAGGACCAUCUCCUAAGGCUAAAUACUCUCUAGUGACCGAUAGUGAACCAGUACCGUGAGGGAAAGGUGAAAAGUACCCCGGAAGGGGAGUGAAAGAGAACUUGAAACCGUGUGCUUACAAGUAGUCAGAGCCCGUUAAUGGGUGAUGGCGUGCCUUUUGUAGAAUGAACCGGCGAGUUACGAUCUGAUGCAAGGUUAAGCAGGAAAUGUGGAGCCGUAGCGAAAGCGAGUCUGAAUAGGGCGUUGAGUAUUUGGUCGUAGACCCGAAACCAGGUGAUCUACCCAUGGUCAGGUUGAAGUUCAGGUAACACUGAAUGGAGGACCGAACCGACUUACGUUGAAAAGUGAGCGGAUGAACUGUGGGUAGCGGAGAAAUUCCAAUCGAACUUGGAGAUAGCUGGUUCUCUCCGAAAUAGCUUUAGGGCUAGCCUCAAGUGAUGAUUAUUGGAGGUAGAGCACUGUUUGGACGAGGGGCCCCUCUCGGGUUACCGAAUUCAGACAAACUCCGAAUGCCAAUUAAUUUAACUUGGGAGUCAGAACAUGGGUGAUAAGGUCCGUGUUCGAAAGGGAAACAGCCCAGACCACCAGCUAAGGUCCCAAAAUAUAUGUUAAGUGGAAAAGGAUGUGGCGUUGCCCAGACAACUAGGAUGUUGGCUUAGAAGCAGCCAUCAUUUAAAGAGUGCGUAAUAGCUCACUAGUCGAGUGACACUGCGCCGAAAAUGUACCGGGGCUAAACAUAUUACCGAAGCUGUGGAUUGUCCGUAGGACAAUGGUAGGAGAGCGUUCUAAGGGCGUUGAAGCAUGAUCGCAAGGACAUGUGGAGCGCUUAGAAGUGAGAAUGCCGGUGUGAGUAGCGAAAGACGGGUGAGAAUCCCGUCCACCGAUUGACUAAGGUUUCCAGAGGAAGGCUCGUCCGCUCUGGGUUAGUCGGGUCCUAAGCUGAGGCCGACAGGCGUAGGCGAUGGAUAACAGGUUGAUAUUCCUGUACCACCUAGCAUCGUUUUAAUCGAUGGGGGGACGCAGUAGGAUAGGCGAAGCGUACGAUUGGAUUGUACGUCCAAGCAGUGAGAUUGAGUGUUAGGCAAAUCCGGCACUCUUAAGAUUGAGCUGUGAUGGGGAGAGGAAAUUGUUUCCUCGAGUCGUUGAUUUCACACUGCCGAGAAAAGCCUCUAGAUAGAUAAUAGGUGCCCGUACCGCAAACCGACACAGGUAGUCAAGAUGAGAAUUCUAAGGUGAGCGAGCGAACUCUCGUUAAGGAACUCGGCAAAAUGACCCCGUAACUUCGGGAGAAGGGGUGCUCUUUAGGGUGCAAGCCCAGAAGAGCCGCAGUGAAUAGGCCCAAGCGACUGUUUAUCAAAAACACAGGUCUCUGCUAAACCGUAAGGUGAUGUAUAGGGGCUGACGCCUGCCCGGUGCUGGAAGGUUAAGAGGAGUAGUUAGCUUCUGCGAAGCUACGAAUCGAAGCCCCAGUAAACGGCGGCCGUAACUAUAACGGUCCUAAGGUAGCGAAAUUCCUUGUCGGGUAAGUUCCGACCCGCACGAAAGGCGUAACGAUUUGGGCACUGUCUCAACGAGAGACUCGGUGAAAUCAUAGUACCUGUGAAGAUGCAGGUUACCCGCGACAGGACGGAAAGACCCCGUGGAGCUUUACUGUAGCCUGAUAUUGAAAUUCGGCACAGCUUGUACAGGAUAGGUAGGAGCCUUUGAAACGUGAGCGCUAGCUUACGUGGAGGCGCUGGUGGGAUACUACCCUAGCUGUGUUGGCUUUCUAACCCGCACCACUUAUCGUGGUGGGAGACAGUGUCAGGCGGGCAGUUUGACUGGGGCGGUCGCCUCCUAAAAGGUAACGGAGGCGCUCAAAGGUUCCCUCAGAAUGGUUGGAAAUCAUUCAUAGAGUGUAAAGGCAUAAGGGAGCUUGACUGCGAGACCUACAAGUCGAGCAGGGUCGAAAGACGGACUUAGUGAUCCGGUGGUUCCGCAUGGAAGGGCCAUCGCUCAACGGAUAAAAGCUACCCCGGGGAUAACAGGCUUAUCUCCCCCAAGAGUUCACAUCGACGGGGAGGUUUGGCACCUCGAUGUCGGCUCAUCGCAUCCUGGGGCUGUAGUCGGUCCCAAGGGUUGGGCUGUUCGCCCAUUAAAGCGGUACGCGAGCUGGGUUCAGAACGUCGUGAGACAGUUCGGUCCCUAUCCGUCGUGGGCGUAGGAAAUUUGAGAGGAGCUGUCCUUAGUACGAGAGGACCGGGAUGGACAUACCUCUGGUGUACCAGUUGUCGUGCCAACGGCAUAGCUGGGUAGCUAUGUAUGGACGGGAUAAGUGCUGAAAGCAUCUAAGCAUGAAGCCCCCCUCAAGAUGAGAUUUCCCAACUUCGGUUAUAAGAUCCCUCAAAGAUGAUGAGGUUAAUAGGUUCGAGGUGGAAGCGUGGUGACACGUGGAGCUGACGAAUACUAAUCGAUCGAAGACUUAAUC
rnacentral:rRNA from 1 species